rnacentral:lncRNA from 1 species
UUUUUUUUGUGUUCUUGAUGAUUUCAAACUCUAGCUGUAAACUCAGGAGAAAAUGUCUAAAUUUACUGAUACGACUUCCUUAAAAAUCCUUGGGUUGUCACCUAUACACACUUCCAUUGCUUUAGCCAACAUAUUUAUGUUGAAAUUUUGAGUCAAACUGUGGCUAGUAUAACUUUUACAAACGUAAAACGUGUUGACCACCUGGAAAAUUCACCAGUCUCCGUUUACCAUCUAGCUGUGUACAUGUGCACUGGUGUUGCCGUUGGGCAAUAUUACCAGUCAAUUGUUUGACAAAAAGAGUAGUGGGAGAAUACGGUGCGGUUG